rnacentral:rRNA from 1 species
UACGGAGGUGCGAGCGUGUCCGGAAUCACUGGGCGUAAAGGGCGCGUAGGCGGCUUCUUAAGCGUGUGGUGAAAGCUCAGGCUCAACUCUGAGUCGGCCAUGCGAACUGGGAGGCUUGAGCACUGUAGAGGGCAGGUGGAAUUCCGGGUGUAGCAGUGGAAUGCGUAGAGAUCCGGAAGAACACCGGUGGCGAAGGCGGCCUGACUGGGCAGUAGCUGGACGCUGAGACGCGAAAGCGU